AUUUAGGGUUUCUUUCACUCUCUGUAAACCCAUCCAUCCCUCCGCCAUCGUCGCACCUUCUCUGCGCCAAGCCGCCAACUACCAAGCUACCUCGCAUCUUUCUCUCCAAACAAAACACAAUACAAUCGCCAUCUCCAAAGAAAAACACUCUCCAAACAAAACACAGUCACCAUAUGCCAUCUCCAAAGAAAACACAGUCGUUGACCGUCCACCAUCUCUCUAAGCAACUCGGUCUACCAUCUCUCCAAUCAACUCUCUCUCUCUCUCUGAAAUUGACGGAAGCAGCUCUGGCUCUUUUUCUUGGUGCACUGCAGCUCUGACUCUUUUUCUUUGGCCAUCGGAAAGCUACGCUGCAGAGGGGUAACUUUUUCUUGGGGUAGAGAGAGAGGAUAUUUAAAUGGCAGGAACAAAAUAAAUAGAUGGAGGCAGCUCUGGCUCUACGCAUCUUUUGAUGCUAAAGUGGUUCAAUGUCAAAUGUCUUUGAGAGGGAAAGUUAUAAAAUAGAGAGCAAGAAAGAUGAGAAGGAUUUCAUUCAAAUCUCUCUCACACACUCAUGUUUUGCAGAGGAGUAUACGGUCUGCUUCGCUUCAAUGCCACUCAAGAAUGAGACUUUUGUUCCUCAUUUAAGACAUGUUAUUUAUCUAUGCCACUCAAGAAUGAGACUUUUGUACCUCAAUUAAGAUAUGUUAUAUUAUUC